rnacentral:rRNA from 3 species
UUUAUGGAGAGUUUGAUCCUGGCUCAGGAUGAACGCUGGCGGCGUGCCUAAUACAUGCAAGUCGAGCGAACGGA